GGCUCGUUACAAUGCGCCU
rnacentral:siRNA from 1 species